AUGAAGGGCCUCAUAGUUCGGCUAUGGCCUAAGGAGGCCAUGCCUGGGAGCUACUUCGGCCUGGUGCAGCGGCUGGUGGAUGCGUGCCCGUGGGUUGAAGUCAUCAAGCACUCCGCCUGUAUUGAAGGUUCCCGUCGGGCCCUUGCCCGCGCAAAGGUGCACUGGGGCAAGAUGGAUGCCCAGAAGCUUGUGACGGACCCACCACCAGAGGGCAAGGAGUAUCAUACGCCCGAGAUGUAUUAUAAGAGUGUGCUGAAGGGCGCCCGCACUAUUGCGGGUGAGUGCUCCAAAGAUGUAAUAUUUGAGUAG
rnacentral:rRNA from 1 species